CCGGGUGGACGCUACGCUCUGCGUGUUCCAAAUCUGAUCAUAAAAGGAAAGGACACCAGGCAAGCCAUCCAACUGCACAGCUACUGCCACGCUGGGGAGGCUGAGCCAGGCCUCCGUGCCCCCGAAGGAGACCCCAGGCAUUCAGACACCAGGCAAUUUUGCAUCUCAUCCUGAAGAGACAGUCCCCCGCAGGAAUCCCUGCCUCAGGAACCUGAGAGAAGCUGGAGAGAUGAAAUAGAAACAGCAGAGAAAGACGCUUCUUUCAUAUUCCCAGACCCAGAAUCUAAAUGUCUGAAGAGAUGGUGGGUGUGAGGUUUGGAAAUGGUUUGUUAUACAAUAGCGAAUCGGAACAAAUGAGAUGUUUUAAGCUACGUUUUCACCGCCAGGAAAAACUUCCUAUCUGCUCUGCUCCUGGCACCAUGCUAGGGUCUAAGCACAUGCUAAGAAGCAAAUGUCAGAGUCUCAGAGUGACACAACCUUAGGAAGCACUGGUGUCACCACAGUGUGCCAUGGCAGCAGAAGGAGGAGGCUGGUGAACUGAACCUAACUGCAGUUUGUACAGACCCACAAACAUGGGACAUGUUCACACCAAGAUCGUGAAGAAAGCGGCACGGGUGAUCAUCGAGAAGUACUACAUGCGCCUGGGUAAUGACUUCCACACCAACAAGCGCGUGUGAGAGGAGAUCGCCAUUAUCCCCAGCAAGAAGCUUUGGAACAAGAUAGCCGGCUACUUCACGCAUCUGAUGAUCGGAUUCAGAGAGGUCCUGUGAGAGGUAGCUCUUUCAAGUUGCAGGAAGAAGAGAGAGAGAGGAGAGCUGAUUACGUUCCUGAGGUCUCAGCCCUAGAUCAGGAGAUCACUGAGGUGGAUCCCGACACCAGGAGAUGCUGACGCUUCUGGACUUGGGCAGUCUCUCUAACCUGCACGUCACUCCCUCUUACACGCGUUCACGACCGGCCAGGAAGAACACAGCAAACCAGAAUCUUCUGCGGCAAAACUUUAUUGCUUACAUCUUCAGGAGCAAGAGUGCAAGAGAGAGAAUGGCGAAACCCCGUCCCUUUUUAAGGAGAAUUAUUCUCCGCCUAGGACGUAUUACUCCCUGAUUGGCUGCAGCCCAUCGGCCGAGUUGUCGUCACGGGGAAGGCAGAGCACAUGUAGUGGAAAACUACCCUUGGCACAUGCGCAGAUUAUUUGUUUACCACUUAGAACACAGGAUGUCAGCGCCAUCUUGCAACGGCGAAUGUGAGGGCGGCUCCCCACAGAUCCCCCUUUUCUUUUAAUAAGAGCAAUAGGCCACCCAUAUUAAUGAGAGUGGAGAUAGAGGUCAAAUCCCCAGUGUGCAGGUAAAGGAGCCGUACACAUAACCUCCUCCCAGGCUCAUCACCCAGAGGGGUCCUGGUCUGGUCCUGUGUCGUUUUACCUGGGGAGAAGGACACUUGGACACUCAACCUUCUUGAAAGAUGACAUGUCUCCCUAGAAUAGGCUCAUAUGUGCUGCAGAGCCCUUCUACUGCAGUGCUUAGCCGUGCAACUCUCUCGGGCUGCUGAAGCACACUCACUCUAUCCCGUGCAAUGAGACUAGCCUCGUGGGGUGCAAGAGCUGAAUGGCCAGCGACCUAUUGCUUAAGCAUAGAUAACCAUAUAUCAGGGGAAGCACCAUGUUCUAGAGCUGCAAGUGCCUGGGCAAUAACCACCUUGUCUCUCCUAGUUUGGGCCUUAAGCUUACAGACCAACCAGAGAAGCAACACUAAUCCACAGCAAAGUGUAUCUCCAAAUAAUCCCACCCAUACCCAUUCUUUAAAGAAGGAAAAUGCUGAGGAGAUCCAAUUGGGUAAUCCUUUGAUCAGGGACAGGUCCAAGCGCGUGGAGUUGACCUGAAGUCUCAAUUCCCGAAGGGUCUGUUCAAAUUCAGCCGUCCAAUUCUGUAACAUAUACUGAGAAAGACUUUUUGACAAAUUAGCUGCCCUAGUAAAUUUCUCAUACUGAAUGGAAGUAACGGACAAUCCCGGAAACUUUUGUUCACAUCCCAGCUGAGCUAUUUGCCAUAAUGCAUCUAGUUGUUUCUGGACAAGAUCUAUGAGUUGAUUAACCAGCAUGAGACCUUCCUGUAUCUUGACAUUAGCUGAGGCCUGUUUAUCUAUGACUGUGGUCACCGAGGCUGACAAUGUGUUAAUGGUGUCAGUCGUCUGGACCUGUCCAGACAGAGCCAAGACUGUCUGAAUCAAGGCCAAACCCAGUUCCUUGUUACUGGUAAAAAAGCAGGGGAAUACUUGAGCAUUAUAUAUCACCGGCAUUGGGAGUGGAAAUGUCGACAUUAUCUCCCAACGCUGCUCUCUCUUUGUUAUUGUCGCCCUGGACAUCACCAAGACGAGGGACAUUAGUAUUCCCUUGGUCAGUCUGGAUUUUUCGGGUGAGUCUUUCUGGUAUCCAAAAUGGGUUGUCUUCAUUCUGUGGAAAAACACAAACAGCUCCCCUGGAUCUUAUCAAAAUAGGAUCCGGGCCAUACCAUUUAUUAUCAAGGACAUUUUUCCAUUUAACCAUCUCAUUGGGCCUAUCUGGCUCUGAACAAUGACGUUCAGCCGCAGUAUGGCCAUGAGCAUCAAGAUUUAAAAAAUUGAGUGUAAAGAGUGCCAUAGACACAGACACUCUUGGUACUCGGGGUAGAGCCUCCUCGAUUCCCCUCUUCUGUUUUAAUAGAUAGGAUUUGAGGGUGCGAUGCACACGCUCAACAAUACCCUGUCCUUGAGGGUUGUAUGGAAGUCCAGUCAGGUGGGUCACGUCCAUCUGACGGCAGAACUGCUGGAAUUUUUGAGAUGUAUAAGCUGGUCCAUUAUCAGUCUUAAGGAGUUUGGGUUUCCCCCAAGCACUCCAUGCCUCAAGGCAAUGUUGAAUCACAUGUGAGGCUUUUUCUCCGGUUAACGGAGAAGCAAACAUGAUGCCAGAGCAGGUGUCAAUAGAGACAUGUAAAUAUUGAUUUCUCCCAAAGGAGGAAAUAUGCGUGACAUCCAUUUGCCAGACCUGUAAUGGCCUGAUGCCACAGGGGUUUACCCCUACAUGAGGAGUAGAUAAAAUUUGACAACAAUCUAAAGGCAUUAUUAAGUAAUCAGAAUCACUUCCAGUAGCACCAAUCCCUCUGGCGGCUCGAGGAAUACCAGAGGAAGGAAAACAGCCAUGUAGGCUUGGCAAAAUUAUUAGUUGAGCUAUUCUGUCCCCUUGUGAUAUAGAAAAGACAACUUGAGGACAAGAACAGAGAACCUGAAGUUCCCCUUUAUAAUCCUCAUCUACAACUCCAGGGUGGACAAUAAGACCUUGUAGGCUGCAAGAGCCUGCCUCCGUCAUUCUGGCCACAAAAUCUGAGAAGGACUCCUGAGGUCCCUGGACGAUCUUUGUUAGUUGUCCAGUGGCCUCACCUGCUCGGGAGAGCGCCUUCCAGGCCCUAAUAGCCUUUUCAUCUGAUUCAGAACUACUAAGAACUGGCUCCUUGAGCUCAUCUAGUGAUGAGUAUAGGCUCCUUCUCCUAGAGACCUCCGCUAAUUGAUCUUUUUUCUUUUCUUUUUUCUUUUCCUUCCUUCUAAUCUCUCCCCAGGUAUUCUUACCUGACCUAAACUUUUCCUCGGGUUCAAGACCCGUGGAAAGGCCUGUAUACUUAUUUUGUGUACCAUAUCUCCUCUUUGCUCCUACUCUCUCUCCCCGCUUUACUUCUGAUAGAUUGCCCUGAAUUUCAUCCAGAAUUUUCAGCCCUGCCUUAACCGCUUGAUAACAUGUGAAAAGGAACAAAAAGGCUCCUAACACUAGAAAAAGUUCAAGGCCAAACAUACCUUGUAAAGCUAUUUCCCACUUUACUUCUGAUAGACUGUCUUGAAUUUCGUUAGAAAGUUCAAGACCAGACUUACCUUGUAAAGCUAUUUCCCACUUUACUUCUGAUAGACUGUCUUGAAUUUCGUUAGAAAGUUCAAGGCCAGACUUACCUUGUAAAGCUAUACUUACGGGUACCCUGUUCCCCAGCUGAAGAGUUCUGAAUUCACGCAGUUGAAUCCUUCUCAACAGUCUGUUUUACGGGAACACUUCAUUACCAUGACCCGCAGUUCUGGUUCCGGAAUGAGGGAUCUUCCUUGCGCCGGUGAUGGUAACCGUCCCAGGUUUUCUCGUCUCGGGAUUUCUCGUCCCAGGUCUUCUCGUCCCGGGUCUCAGCACCAACUCUUACACGCGUUCACGACCGGCCAGGAAGAACACAGCAAACCAGAAUCUUCUGCGGCAAAACUUUAUUGCUUACAUCUUCAGGAGCAAGAGUGCAAGAGAGAGAAUGGCGAAACCCCGUCCCUUUUUAAGGAGAAUUAUUCUCCGCCUAGGACGUAUUACUCCCUGAUUGGCUGCAGCCCAUCGGCCGAGUUGUCGUCACGGGGAAGGCAGAGCACAUGUAGUGGAAAACUACCCUUGGCACAUGCGCAGAUUAUUUGUUUACCACUUAGAACACAGGAUGUCAGCGCCAUCUUGUAACGGCGAAUGUGAGGGCGGCUCCCCACAACUCCCAGCCUACGGUUGGCAUGAAUUUCAAAACACCAUGUGGAGCUGUUUAAUCUGUUAUGCCAUAUUUUCAAUAAACCUGAAAAAAAAAAGA